rnacentral:rRNA from 1 species
GACGGGGGGGGGCAAGCGUUGUUCGGAAUUACUGGGCGUAAAGGGCUCGUAGGCGGCCAACUAAGUCGGACGUGAAAUCCCCAGGCUCAACCUGGGAACUGCGUCCGAUACUGGAUGGCUUGAAUUCGGGAGAGGGAUGCAGAAUUCCAGGUGUAGCGGUGAAAUGCGUAGAUAUCUGGAGGAAUACCGGUGGCGAAGGCGGCAUCCUGGACCGACAUUGACGCUGAUGAGCGAAAGCUAGGGGAGCAAACGGGG